AGAGUUUGAUCAUGGCUCAGACGAACGCUGGCGGCAUGCCUAACACAUGCAAGUCGAACGAGACCUUCGGGUCUAGUGGCGCACGGGUGCGUAACGCGUGGGAAUCUGCCCUUGGUUCGGAAUAACAGUUAGAAAUGACUGCUAAUACCGGAUAAUGUCUUCGGACCAAAGAUUUAUCGCCCAGGGAUGAGCCCGCGUAGGAUUAGCUAGUUGGUGAGGUAAAGGCUCACCAAGGCGACGAUCCUUAGCUGGUCUGAGAGGAUGAUCAGCCACACUGGGACUGAGACACGGCCCAGACUCCUACGGGAGGCAGCAGUGGGGAAUAUUGGACAAUGGGCGAAAGCCUGAUCCAGCAAUGCCGCGUGAGUGAUGAAGGCCCUAGGGUUGUAAAGCUCUUUUACCAGGGAUGAUAAUGACAGUACCUGGAGAAUAAGCUCCGGCUAACUCCGUG
rnacentral:rRNA from 1 species